rnacentral:rRNA from 1 species
CCUACGGGAGGCAGCAGUGAGGAAUAUUGGUCAAUGGACGAGAGUCUGAACCAGCCAAGUAGCGUGAAGGAUGACUGCCCUAUGGGUUGUAAACUUCUUUUAUAUGGGAAUAAAAUGUUCCACGUGUGGGAUUUUGUAUGUACCAUAUGAAUAAGGAUCGGCUAACUCCGUGCCAGCAGCCGCGGUAAUACGGAGGAUCCGAGCGUUAUCCGGAUUUAUUGGGGUUAAAGGGAGCGUAGGGGGAUUGUUAAGUCAGUUGUGAAAGUUUGCGGCUCAACCGUAAAAUUGCAGUUGAAACUGGCAGUCUUGAGUACAGUAGAGGUGGGCGGAAUUCGUGGUGUAGCGGUGAAAUGCUUAGAUAUCACGAAGAACUCCGAUUGCGAAGGCAGUUCACUGGACUGCAACUGACACUGAGGCUCGAAAGUGUGGGUAUCAAACAGGAUUAGAUACCCUUGUAGUC